UGGGGAAUAUUGCGCAAUGGGCGAAAGCCUGACGCAGCGACGCCGCGUGAGGGAUGAAGGUUUUCGGAUCGUAAACCUCUGUCAGAAGGGAAGAAACUACGUUGUGCUAAUCAGCAGCGUACUGACGGUACCUCAAAGGAAGC
rnacentral:rRNA from 1 species